UGCAACACCGACAGGUUAUCGUCUACAGCAGGACACACCACAGUAGGCGUCAAGUGUUCAUCAAGUCCAGCUCCACCUGAAUAUGACUUCUUUUUACGAGAGACAAGAAACAACAAACUAUCGAAGACGAAUAUCGACACAAUGAGUGGUAUAGUAGAUAUGAAUACAGCUUGCAUCUCCGCCAUCGACGGCAGUGUUGUGUAUGAUUCUUUGUAUGACCAGGUCAUUUACUUCAAGGAUUCUUCUUUUUGGGGCUGUAGAUGGGGAGUCGGAAAGAACCUAAUACACGCGUUUGCGUCUGGAGUAUCAAUACACCAAUUCGCCUUGGACAAAGAAGAGCGUCUUUUGUUUUAUUAUUUGGAUGGUACGAUAUCGG